rnacentral:rRNA from 1 species
CACUAUGCCUAGCCGUAAACAUAGACAGUACACAUACCUAACUGUCCGCCCGGGGACUACGAGCAUCAGCUUAAAACCCAAAGGACUUGGCGGUGCUUUAAACCCCCCUAGAGGAGCCUGUUCUAGAACCGAUAAUCCCCGUUCAACCUCACCCUUCCUUGUUCUUUCCGCCUAUAUACCGCCGUCGUCAGUUUACCCUGUGAAGGUAAAACAGUAAGCACAAUCGGCACAGCCCAAAACGCCAGGUCGAGGUGUAGCGUAUGGAAGGGGAAGAAAUGGGCUACAUUCCUUAAUACUAAGGCAUACGAAUGAUAUGUUGAAACACAUAACUGAAGGAGGAUUUAGCAGUAAGCAGGAAGUAGAGUGUCCCGCUGAAAUCGGCUCUGAAGCGCGUACACACCGCCCGUCACUCUCCCCGAACUAAAGUUUAUUAUUUAACUAAAACCCUAUACCUGUAAAGGGGAGGCAAGUCGUAA